GUUUUUGUAGUUAAAUAAUAACGGUGGUUUUUCAAGUCAUUGUUCCUGGUUAGAAUCCGGGCAGAAAUU
rnacentral:tRNA from 1 species